UCCUUGGUGGCUCAGUUGUAGAGAAUCUGCCUGCCAAUGCAGGAGACUCAGGUCUGACCCCUGAUCUGGGAA
rnacentral:tRNA from 1 species